CAAAACUCUGAUAUCACGUGUGGUCCGAGUCAUUCAAUAACUAAAACUUUCAACAACGGAUCUCUUGGUUCCGGCAUCGAUGAAGAACGCAGCGAAAUGCGAUAAGUAAUGUGAAUUGCAGAAUUCAGUGAAUCAUCGAAUCUUUGAACGCACAUUGCGCCCCUUGGUAUUCCGAGGGGCAUACCUGUUCGAGCGUCA
rnacentral:rRNA from 1 species